GCCGUAAUUCAACGGCUAGAACGAGAGCCUCCUAAGCGCUAGAUAUGGGUUCGAUUCCCGUCGGAGGCACCA
rnacentral:tRNA from 1 species